ACACACACACACACACACACACACACACACACACACACACACACACACAACAAAACCUGUGGCAUUACGUUUGUCAACUACUCUUGAACAUGAGGCCUGCCCUGGAAUGGUUAAGAUACCCAGUGUCACUCCAUUGGAGAAAACUGAUUUUCCCUCUCCCAGCAGGUCUAAAUGACAGUUCAGUUGUUAGCCUUUACCCUAGUGGCUAGAAUUUCAUUCAUUCAUUUUUUAAAAUAUAGCAAUAAAAUAUAAGAUUAAAAAAACUAUCACGUCAAAGUUGGACAAGACGAACCAACAGAAGGAAAAGAGCCCAAGAGAAGGCACAAGAGUGAGAGAGACUCUCAUUCACAUACUCAGGAGUCCUACAAAAACACUAAACUGGAAGCCAUAUUAUGAGCACAGAGGACCUGGUACAGACCCAUGCAGGCCCUGCGCAUGGCGCUUCAGUCUCUCUGAGUUCCUAUGAGUUUUGCUUAUGUUGAUUGAGAGGGCUCUGAUUUCUUGGAGUCCUCUGUCACCUCUGACUCUUACACUCUCUGCCUCCUCUUCUGUGGAGUUUCCUGAGGUGUAAGGAGAGGGGUUUUUAUUUAGCCUGCUUUCUUAUAGCACUGGGGACCACCAACCCAGGAAUGGCACUACUCACAGUGGAACUCCCACGUCAAUCACUGAGAAGAUGUCCUACAGGUUUGCCUACAGCCCAGUUUAUGGAGAGUUUUCUCAGUUGAGACUCCCUCCUCUCCAGUGACUCUAGCUUGUGUCACACUGACAUAGAACUAGCCAGGACAGGUGGAAAGCACUACCUUUUUGCAUACCUGUACACUCAACACCCUAGGGCACUGGGGAGUCCUAUCACUAAAACAGAAGGAACUCUUGCAUGCCUGACAUUUCCCAGACUUCAGGACCAUGAAAGUCCCUCUCAGGUCCCUUGGUAGCACUUCUUAGAGAAGCCAAUGAGGUACGCAGUACUCACACGGAUGGCUGGGUCAGUCCCUAGAACCCUGAUGCAACCUGAUCCUGCUCACUUCCUAAGUUGGGACCCUUGCUUGCCCACAGAAGGCCAGUGCCCCCUCGAGCUGUCCACAACCUCAGAGGCUCAGGGCAUCAAAGCUUUCAGGAAGGGUGGUCAAGAUAGUCCUAGAAUCCUAAGCUAGCCUAUGCUGCCUAUCACCCACCCCCCAAGCCUGGGGAGAGCAGCUAUCCUGGGGCCUAGAUGAUGCUUCAGAUCUAAUGAGAAGUGCAAGCAGUUUCAUUAAGAAGUCAUUGAGAACGUCUUUUUAAGAAGAACAUUUGUGGUGCUUUCUGAGUCUGAUUUCAUGGUAGUGCACAGGAGACUGGGGAAUAGUGGGGAAAGGCCAUUACCCCUAGGUUGACCCCAAUGGAAGGGUCCCCAGAAGGUAACACCUGCCUCUUCUAAACAACUCUUGGGUGACUCUCCUUCUAGUCCUGGUGAAUGACCCCUUGGAGAACCCCUGACACAAAGCCUUCUUCCCCACAAGGAGGCCUGGAAUGCUUGACAUGGCAUGCUUCUGUGUAGCCAGUGGUGGGUAGCCACUCCGUGUGGCUCUCACUACUCACCUGCCCUGGGUGCCAUGCUCUGCUCUGGCUUCAGAUGACACACCCACUAUGGCCUCCAGGCCCUGUUGCCAAUGCUUCCUUCUGAUACACAGGAUGGCUAUCCAAGGUUACUAGCUCCCUUUCUGCUCACUGGGACGGGGAGCUCCCAGGAAGAUGACAGGAGCAAACACUUGGAUUUCAGGUACUAGCCAGGAGUGUGGGGAGUGUGUCCUGUGGGAAUUUGGAGACAUGGGCAGAGAGAGCUGGUACUGAGUCCCUCCCACUCCCAUGGACUCCCACAGGAAAGAGAUGAUCCACUUAGAGCAGAAAUUGGCUGGGUCUCUUCCAUCAUCCACCCCAGAGUGCCACUGGAGAAGCUCCAACACCUUCACCUUCAGAUGCCAGUGGGUAUGAGUGGGACUCUAGCCAGGUUGGGGGGGGGGGGCUGGUAUAAUUCCUUCCCAGAAUAGUGACAACCUAAGAGCAGACUUUAUUCCACCAGUCAGACAUCCAGCAUCCUUCAUGUGAAGCAGUGACAUGACCCUCCCUGUUCUACAACCAGCUCUUACUCCAUCAUCCCUUCUUUCCCUCAGGAUUGGCGAUCAGUUGUCAGGUGCUGAGGCCAGCUGUCACUACUCUGAUACUGAACAGCCUGGAUGGAGAGUGACAUGGAGGAUCUGUGGGUGGAGCCCCAAGUAAUAGUAUCCCAAGCAUGCACAGGGACUCUGUUCUGUCUUUUACCUCCCUAACCCCUACCCCUGCCUGAGCUCCUCCUACCCACCUCUACCAACCUUCUACUCCCUCUGCGCCUCCAUGUUGCAGCCAAGGCAUGUCCUUACCUGCCUGCUCAGAUGGCCCUGGAGGCUGUGGGUGCUGGGACUGUAGCCUGGCAAUGUGGGGCAGGGUGAGGCUGGACAGAGGCCUGGACAGCAGAACUUCUGGCCCCAGGACAGACCUGACCUGGCCCUGCACUCCUUGGGGCCACCUUAGCUACUCCUGUGCGCACACAUACCCCCUUGGCCCCGCAGCCUAGCCCUUUUGGGUCUCUCGUGACUAAGGAGGAAGGAGGAGAGGGGAAGGGACAAGGGCAGAGUCGUCCCUGUGGGCUUCAUCAAGCCUGAAGCCCUGUACUAUAACUAUACAAAAAGGGAAGGCUUAGCCUCGCCCCCGCCCCCAACUAACUCCUGGUCUCUGUCCACUGAGAAGGAAGGCCCCAAACCUGGACACUUCCAGAUGCUGCCCGUGGUGCCACACCCUGGUGUGGUUUCUGCAGGGCCUCUUUUUCCUCUAACUCUGAGGUCACCACUGUUGGAGGUAGAAAAUUAGUAAAAUAAAGUAAAAGAAGAUAAAAGUAGGUGGGCUCCGCCCAUAUGUGCUUUGCGCUCGGUUCUCAGAGAGACUUCUGGCAUUCACAGAUGUUUGCUCUUCAGAUUUGGCCUCCUGCCACCAAGAAGCUCCGCCUGGCUCUCCCUUCCAUGUUCCCCAUGUCUCCCCAUGUCCUGGGAUUCCCCCUGCCUGCCAGGCUCUGGGGCUGCUCCCAGUUGCCUGGUGUUUGAUGGCGUCUUACCCCCCUGGACACUGCAGAAAGAGCAAGGGCCUAAAUGGGAUUGACUCCCAUGGGAGCCUCCCCCUCCGCUGUCCCUGUCUGCCAUGGAAAGGAGUGAGCCAGGAAGAGAGAAGCUACACACGGCAGAGCACACACCCAUACCCACCACACACACACACACACACACACACACACACCACACACACAGGUGGGGGUGGGCUGUCUGAAUAGCUAGGUUGGGCCUGUCCCUGGCUGUCAUCUGUUCAGGAGGGUUAAGCUGUUUGGUGCCCCAGAAACCCAAAGAAGCUUCCAGAGCUGACCAAUGCCUAGCCAGAAGGAGGGGCUGUGGCUGGAGGGGGAGCUGCCCACAGGUCUGAUCCAGGACUGACUUCCUCCUCCCGCAGCCUCUGUGGAUUCAAGGAAGAUUCAGCGGCCCCUCCUGCUCUUCCUACGACUAUGGCUACUGCUGUCACCAGCCCAGACCCCCUUCCUGCCCGCCCCCCUCCGGAGGCGCCAACCAGCCUCUGCCCCAGCUGGUUUAUUUUUAGCUCCUGCCCUGCCUGACACUGCCUUGGAUUUUGCACUGGGAUCUACCCGAAGCCCUUCCUAGGGUAGGCAGGCUUUGACCACCGGAGGGCACAGGGAGGGCUUCCUUCCUUGUGAUUCUAGGAAGUGGCAGGAAGAGUGGUAUUCCUGACCUUCCUGACCAACUGAGAGAUGGAGCCUGGGAGUGGGGCCCAAUGAAGCCCAUAGCAGAACAGAUUCAGUGUCCACAGCUAGAGGGGACAGUAGAGGCUGAGGAGCUGGAAUGUCAGUCUGAAGAGAGCAGUUGCAGUCACAGCAUGAGGCCUAGUCUGUAGGGCAUAGGUGGGAAUCACAAGUUGGGACCAUAGCAGUCUGAGGGUGGACAUUAGGACAGAGAGGCAGCUGCUCAUAGAAACAAGGGGCAUGUGCUGAUUGGACUCUACGGGAGACAUGAUAGCAAGGCCCAUGUAGUGGUAGUGACGGGAUAGUCCCAGGUAGGAGGGAGGAAGAGGGGUUGGGGCAGACGGGCCUGAGAGGUCCAGGGUUUCUGGAGCACAGGACUGGGUCCUCAUGCUCCCAACCUUGCAGAAGGGUUACAUCCUUGCACAGGAGAGGGUUUGAGAGAUGAGUGCACACACGGCAGGAUGCACACUCAGCAACACUUACUCUGGGACAGAUCUAUGCAAGUCAUACAGCUCAUCAAGAAGGUCCCUGGAAGAUCAGCGGGAAGCCACACAAAGCAUGUCCACCUUCUUCAGUCCUGCAUGGAACGGGAAGGCCAGGACCCAGCAGGUGACACCAGCAGUGAAGACACCAGCCCAUGGGGGCCCUGGAUGGACCUUGUCAAGUAUGAGUCUUUCCCGGUAGCCACUCACCGCAGAGGUCCAACCUGACCAUUUGAGGGGCUUGCUGAGUGGUUGGUACAAUGAGUGGGUUUUAUUUAGUGUGUUCACAGACAGGCACACACAACACUAUAGUCUAUUUGAUGACAUCACCAUGUCCUCUGAAGGAAAAUCCGUACUUUUUAACUGUGUUACCCCCAGACCUCAAUGGCCACUACUCUGACUUCUGCCACAAGAGUCAUUCUAUCCUAGACGUUCAUGUCCUGUGUCCAUGGAGUCACACUGCACAUGGUUUGGGUCUUCAUCCCCUGAGUGUGUUACCAAGGUUCAUCCACGUUACCUGUAUACUUCCACGCUCCAGCCUUUCUAAGCCUGAAGAAUGCUCUGUCAUGUGGGCGUGCCACAUUUCACAGUAAGAUUUUUGUUGUUUGGGUCGGUGUUUUUCUGAAGUGAUAGAAAUUGAACCCAGGGUGAUGCACAGGCUGGGAACAUCCUUUAUCUCUAACGUGCCCCCACAACACCCCCAUUCUGCUGACCCGACAGCCCAUCUGUUGAUAGACCUUGCGCCAUUGUGAAUUAAGCUGCCAAGAACGCUGGUGCACGGGUUUCUGUGUGGACAGGGGUUUGUAUAUGGUCACUGGGUCCUGUGGGUCGCAGCUACAUGUCAUUUUCAGACAGCAGCCAUGGUGGUGACUUCCAGUGACAGGGGAGCCACUGUGGCCAGCUACCAGCUCUAUUAAGGGCAGGACUGAGCUGUGCCUUGGCUCCCAGGUCUCAGACUUGGAGGCAUCCAGCCCACAAGACCAGAUUAGCUGCUAAGGGUGGUCGCGAGGGAUGGUAACCCUAGCGGGAGGCCCAGCCAGGCACUCUAGAUAUUCCUGCUGCAGACAUGCUGUUCUGAGUGCCUUAGGCCAGUGCUGAGGCAGGAGGCACAGUCUUGCAUGGUGUCCCGGGUUCAUGGUAGCAUGCUUUCGGGGUAGCACCCAGGACGGCACUAGAUUCAGAGUCAUCCCCUUCCUUGCGCUGAGCUUCCUCCUGUGCUGGCAGUUUGGGGCCAGGGCACACACUCCCAGCCUCCGCGGUGAACACGGAGCAGGCAGAGUCUGGGCACACGGUACCUGCUGCAUUAAGCGCAGUCCACACUGGCCCUGCUGUGUCUUCUCCUGCCUGUAAUCUUAUCACACAUGGUUUAGGGUCUGCAGAAGGUGCGGCACGGUGCUGUUCUCAGCCUGGAGAUGGACUGGUUGUAAGUAUUCCGUCUUACACGUUGUUCCCUAGAGCUCCUGCUAACUGGCAGCAUUCCUACAGACAACAGGCCCCUUCUUGGCUUGGCAGCAUCCUCCUCACAUAUUGUACGUUUUCCUCUGAAAUGUUUAACGUGCUCAAGUCUAGCUUCAAUCACAUCAGCUCUAUGGCAGACUAAUCACUUAGCCUGAUUGUUGAGCUGCAUUUGGUUCUGGGAUUUUUAAAACACAGAAGAAAACAACCCUACCAAGCUCCAUACCCACAGACCGCUGCGCAGCUGAUCCUUCACAGGAAAAUGUAUUGCCCUCUCUGGGGCUUUGUGGUUGGGUUAGUGUUUACUGGGAGUGAAAAUUGUUUUACCCACCAGCACAGUGCCUAGAAUGUUGGACAGAUGUUAAUUGUGUUAUCGAUGCCAAAACUGGAAACACCUUGCCCCUUCCCAGAGUUGAGCUUUUUGGUUUAAUUACUAUAACUGUGAUGGCUGAAACCGAAGCGCGUGUGCAUUCGGAACGGGAAACACUGAUGUUAGAAAGUAAUUUCAGAUCUGCAUGCAUAGCUGGGGAUGGAGAUAGCAGGUGUGUCAAAGAGCAGGGCUGCUGGCUGAUUCUGGCACGCGUGUGGGGGGAGGGGGUAGUGUGACGGUGCCUUCCAUGCAUGCCCAUGCUGUGUUUAUAGCUGGCGAUGAUUUCUCAUCUGCAGUGACUCCAUGAUUCCAAGCCUUAUUCCUUAAAUGCAGAGGCAAACAGCAGUCUGUUCCGGUAGACACAGGCUGCAGGUCAUUUGGUGGUGGACUUGCUGGCCUGGCCCAGGGCCUCUUUCCCAGACCCCUGCAUUGCUCCAAGGUGGUAUGUGUGGGUGGGUGGGGGACUGCUUUGGCAGCCAAGGGAUCUUUUUUAUUUCACAAUUAAUAGAUGCAAACACGGUAAUAGACUUAAUAUUUUAGAGUUGUCUUUGAUUUAUACAAAGUGAACUAAUAGUUGGGGAGUCCCGCGUACUUUUCGUGGUUCCCCUGUCCUUCACUUCUGGCAGUGGGGUGACUUGUCUGGCAGAGCUGGUAUCGACACUGUUACCGACAGCCAUCUGCUCACCACAUGAGAGUGGACUCUCUCUCGGAGCUGCACAUUCAAUGGGUUUGGGCAUAGUCACACUGUCACAUCUUCCAUUGCAGCAUCAUACACAAGCCUCUGUCCACAAAUUCUGCAAUCCACCGUUUCAAGUGAACAAACACACAAGACCACGAAGAGCUCCAGUUCCAGUGGCACAUUUGCUAAAACAUCAACAGCACAGGUGUGGGGAAUAGUGAUGUGUUUACUCCAAGGCGCACUGGGUAUCAAAGACCCAUAUUCCUCAGACCAUCCCCGUGGCUUUGAGCCUGGAGUGAGAGUGGGCAGCGCUUGAAAUACUCAAGGCAACGAUAAAGUGAGGUGACCGCAUGUUAUCUACUGGAAAUGAAGUUCCAAAGCUGCUAAUAUUCUCAAGAGAAGGAAAUGACUAUUUGAGUCAGAAAUCAGUGAACAUAAAAUGUUAGUUUUCCUUGUCCAAGUUCCUAGUCCCCAUGGAUUAAGUCUCUACUCUAUAGACAUAUGGAAAUAUUGUGAAUCAGAAGAAAUAAAAUGCUAACAGGGAUAAAAAAAUGUGUUUUCAAAAUCAAACAUGCUGUUUUUGAAACUCCACCUUCAUUAGCACCAGGUGGGCUUUGACUGCUGUCUGCACAAUGGCUCAGUGAAUUCACUGAUCUGCCCUGAGAAAAAGCAGAUUGAUGAGGAGAAGCUGAUUACGCUCAGUGGCAGGAGGUGUGAUUAAUGCCUACUCACACAGCAACCAGGAUGGUUCCAUUUCACUGUCUUCCCGUGACUCAAAGACAGUGGCUAAGAACCCCAAGAGGGAAAGGGAGAAAUCCAUUCCAGGGACCCCAGGCAUCCAACAAGCAUCAAGUGUCACUGGUCGCUGCAUGCUGGAGGCCUAAGAAGUUGGUUGCAGGAGCUCCACCAUCAUCAAUAUCAUCAUUAUCUUCAUCUUCACCACUAUCACCAGAACCAUGGUCUUACCACCAUUAUCACCAUCAACACCUCCAUCAUCUUCGCUAACACCAUAUCACAAUCACCUCUAACAUCAUCUUCAUUAGCACUUUGAACUCCAUCACCGUCAUCAUAACCAUCAUCUUUGACACCCUCAUCUUCAACCUAAGCACGAUCACAACCAUCUUCAUGUCUUCAUCAUCACCACCAUCAUGACCGUGACCUUUAUCAGGGUCGUAGUCACUGUCAUUACUGCUGGCAAGCCAGGUAGAUGAGGUGGGGGGGGGGGGCUGACUCCUAUUGAUCAAGACCCCACGUAGAGAAGUGUGUACUGUGUGAACGGACAUACAGACCCAGAGAAGGGAGAAUACUGACGUAGAAAGGAAGUGACAGGGUGGCCCUGAGAGUCCUGCCAGCACUAGGCAUCCUUGUUCUUGGUGGUGUUUCAGACUGUGCAGUUGCCCAGGGCCUCCACGUUCUGCCCUCCCAGGUCCUCUUCUGCUCUCUCCUACCCUGUCUAUUCAUUCUGCAUUUUCUACCCUUGUUUUUUAAACUUCCUACCUUCAGGAAGCACAUACACUCCCUGCCCCCUGCAGGUCUUAGAACUCAGGGCCAGCCAGAGCCAGGGGUUGGCAUCCAGUGUAGGAAGAAAAUAGAGUUGGAAUUCUGCCUAUAAAUGUCUCCAUCCCUUUUCUGGUGACUGAUACUCCAUCCACACAGAGCUCUCGGCUUGCGGAUGCUCUGGGGAUCAGAUAUGCCAAAGACCCUUCUAGUUAGAAGGGUGGGGUCUACUGCAUGCUCAUUCCAGCCUUCCAUGAUUAUCAUUCUGAGCCAUCCACUGCUUGCCGGCAUCCAGGCCCCCUGGAAGCCACCCCUAUGCCCCACAGAAAGCCCCGAUGGCAGGCCCUGACAUGUUUUGUACCCUGUAGCUUGGCAACCAUGGGAUAGAGUGGGCAUCCUGUCAACAUUCCUAGGACUCUCUCUCAUCCUCUAGCCCUGCCUGGUCUCCAUCAGCAUGUGAACUCACACUUAAGGUUACUCUGGGGCGAAACUGGGAAUGAGGCUCCCGUCAGGACCCCCCCCCCCAAGACUGUUGUUCCUUUCUGUGUGUACUGGGCCUCAUAGCUCUCUACCCUCAUCCUGCUCCUUCUGGGCAAAGUUGGACUGUAGGUCUCUUUCUUCAGAUCCUCCUUUCCAUGGCUUUUUCUCUUCUUUUUUAAAUCUCUAGUAAAACAGGUGUUUCAUGCACAAAAGCACUCUGUGGACACCACAGACCAGAGUGGAGACAGAUAGGUGGGAAGAGAGUACCCAUACCAGCUUUCUUUUUCAGGUUCUAGCACAAGGUACCAAGGGUAGCAAAACUUUGGGCUUAAAGGAGUGAUACUUGUCUACUUGGGUCCUUGAGGGAGCAUCUCCUCUUCAUCUGGCACAUCCCUGGUAGUUUGAGCUCCAGAUAGUCUCUGAGCUCAUCCAGCAUAUGCCCCAGGCCUCCCCAGGCUCUGCAAGACAUGGUGGUGACAGCGUUUCCUAGGAAACUGCAGCUAGCUGCCAGACCAACACGCCUGUGCCCCUUGGGGCUUCAGUGGGUGUAGGCUGGGAUGCUCCAGAGGGAAGGUCUGAGACUUCCUGGCUGCAGCCUCAUGGGCCCAGAGCCAAGCUUGCUACCAGCCAGCAAUGCACCACUCCUGCCCUGGAGCCUUCAGGGCUCCCAGGCACUGGACACCUACUCAACCAGCUGACAUCCUGCGGUUGCUGAACACGACCUGGGCGGGAGACUCCACGGCACUCAAAAGCAAGGAUCCAGGAAGCCUCUCAUUUAGUGGGGAUUAUGACAGACAGCAAGGGCCCUCAGGGAUUCAGAUCCCAGGGAACACCCCACAGGACUGUCUCCUAUAUGAGUCUGGAUCCUGUCAAGUUGACGACAUGAACAGUCACCGGCAGUGAUUGCAGCCAUGAAGCACCCUGUUCUCCAAAGUGCAGGCCCAAGCUGUUCCUCAACAGUGCCCAGCCCUUCCUGAAUGCUCCUUGUGUUGCUCUGUUCUCACUUAAAACUUGUAGCUGUUCUUUAUAAGCUAUGAAGAAGCAUAAGGAUGGAGCUGAAGAGAUGGUUCAGUACUUAACAGUACUUCCUGCUCUUCCAGAAGACGUGUUGAGGUGCUAACAACCGCCUGUAACUCAAGCUCCAGCGAUUUAAUGCUGACUUCUGGACUCCUUGGCACCUGCACACACCGAGAACAUAUUCUUACUGUCAAUAAAAAUAAAUCCUUAAAAAAAGAGAAAACAUAAGGAAACAUUCUUAAAAGAAAAUUAAAAUUACCCACAUUCAAUUC